rnacentral:lncRNA from 1 species
AGAAGAAGCAUUAGUUCCCAGUUCAAUAAAAUAGGAGGUUAACAAAGCAAGCAAAAUAGGUGUGAGUCCACAUUCUCCUUGCAUUCCCAUCCGAGCCUUGAUAUCUCCACUGAGGCCCACAGGGGUCAGUACUUCUCUGCUCUUGGUGUCUGAAUCUGCGCAUAAAGGCAGCAUUGGAAUGAGUGAGAGGAAAGAGAAGGAGCAGAGCUUUUUGUUUUAAGAAAAUCAUGGCAGCGGUGAAUCAGCAGGAUUCCAAUAAUAGCUGUGACUGCUCUACAACAGACCUGCUGGACGGCCUAGCUCCAGGAGGAGGCAACAGCUGAGAGCUGCUUGUCAGAGCAGUGUGAGAACUUAGAUGAAGCUGUGUGAGCAGACCUCACCCUGAAGAACUUGGCAGAAACCUUGCAAGGCACCCACAGAGGGGAUCCUGGAGCAGC